CAGCCGCAGCGUCGGCGAGCCCGCGGGGACCCACGCUCCUGCUGCUUUUGGCUUCCCCGAUCCUCCUCCCUGCCCACCUCCCUUGCUCCUCCUCCUGCCUAGGCUCCUUCUCUUCCUAACUCUCUCCUUGCUUCCCCUCUUCCCUCGCUCCCCUCCCCCACUCACGUGGCGCUUUGGGCCUCCUGUGCGACACCCACAAGGGCAGAUGGUAGCGUCCUCUGAAUGAGACAGAAUGACUGGCAUCCUGGCUGCCCCAUUUGGGCCUCAAGAUACCAGGGCUCCUGGCGUGGGUGUGCCCCGAAUGUUAGUAUGUAUGAGUACAGUACUGGCAGCAGUGAAAACAACAAGAACUGAGAAAUAUUGCGUGUUUGUUAUACACCAGACACUGUUGUCAUUUCAGGCCUGCUUAGAAGCAAUGAGAGUCUUCUCACAAGAAGUAACAGCCAGGGACAGCCAGAAAUAAAAUCUACCAAGUUAAGAAAAAAUAAUGCACAAAAUAAAUGG